GGAGGGAGAAGGUGCCGAGCAAUGGACGGAGUCGCGGGCAUGCUAAGGGGUUUGAAGCUAUCGGAGGAGGAGAAGAAAGGUGUGAAGAUUAGAUGCGCGAUGAAGGGGAAGGGGAAGGAGUGGUUGUUUCAGGCAGUAGGCAAAGUCAUGUCCGAGAAGCUAGCCCAUCCAGAUGCCAUCUGCCAUACCCUAGGCAGAGUCUGGUGCCCGAUCAAGGGGAUAGACUGCAAGGAAAUAGGGGUGAAUCAAUUCCUGUUCACGUUCUUCCAGGAGUCCGGAAAAAGGAAGGCGAUAAAAGAUGGGACAUGGAUGUUCGACAAGGAUUUGAUGGUGGUGCAGGAGUAUGAGCCAACGAAACGGCCUGAAGAUUACCAGUUCAAUAACAUCCCAAUAUGGGUUAGGGUCUACAAUCUUCCCCUGGGAAUGAUGAACGGCGAUUCUGCAUAG
rnacentral:rRNA from 1 species